rnacentral:tRNA from 1 species
UCCCUGAUGGUCCAGUGGUUAAGAUUCUGCACUUCCAAUGCAGGGGCCAUGGGUUUGGUCCCUAGUUGGGGAA